UACGUAGGGGCCAAGCGUUGUCCGGAUUUAUUGGGCGUAAAGAGCUCGUAGGCGGUUCGGCAAGUCAGCUGUGAAAUCUCCACGCUCAACGUGGAGGGGUCAGCUGAUACUGCUGUGACUUGAGUCCGGUAGGGGAGUGUGGAAUUCCCGGUGUAGCGGUGAAAUGCGCAGAUAUCGGGAGGAACACCGGUGGCGAAGGCGGGUCUCUGGGCCGAUACUGACGCUGAGGAGCGAAAGCGUGGGGAGCAAACAGG
rnacentral:rRNA from 1 species